GGGUGGGUGGCUUAGUGGUUAGAGCCUAGGGCUCGUAAACGAAGGGUUCCGAGUUCGAACCUCAUACGAAGCA
rnacentral:tRNA from 1 species